AACGAACGCUGGCGGCAUGCCUAACACAUGCAAGUCGAACGGGAUCCUGGUUUCGGCCAGGUGAGAGUGGCGGACGGGUGAGUAACGCGUGGGAACCUGCCCAGUGGUGGGGGAGUAACUGCGGGAAACGUGCAGCUAAUACCGCAUGAGCCCGCAAGGGGAAAGGAUUGAUCGCCAUUGGAGGGGCCCGCGUUCGAUUAGGUAGUUGGUGAGGUAACGGCUCACCAAGCCUACGANCGAUAGCUGGUCUGAGAGGAUGAUCAGCCACACUGGGACUGAGAUGCGGCCCAGACUCCUACGGGAGGCAGCAGUGGGGAA
rnacentral:rRNA from 1 species